GGUUGUAUAGUGUACUGCUUAGCACUCUGGACUUCGAAUCCAGCGACUUGGGUUCGAAUUCCGCUAGAACGUCA
rnacentral:tRNA from 1 species